rnacentral:rRNA from 1 species
CAGCCGCCGCGGUAAUACGGAGGGUGCGAGCGUUAAUCGGAAUUACUGGGCGUAAAGCGUACGCAGGCGGUUUGUUAAGUCAGAUGUGAAAUCCCCGAGCUUAACUCGGGAACUGCAUUUGAAACUGGCAGGCUAGAGUCUCGUAGAGGGGGGUAGAAUUCCAGGUGUAGCGGUGAAAUGCGUAGAGAUCGGGAGGAACAUCAGUGGCGAAGGCGGCCAUCUGGGACAACACUGACGCUGAGGCACGAAAGCGUGGGGAGCAAACAGGAUUAGAUACCCCGGUAGUCCCUGUCUCUUAUAC